AGGAUGAACGCUGGCGGCGUGCCUAACACAUGCAAGUCGAACGUCCUGUCUCGCAAGAGGCAGGGAGUGGCGGAUGGGUGAGUACCACGUGGGUCAUCUACCGUGAGGUGAGGAAUACCGGCGAGAAUCGCCGACAAGACCGCAUAGGCUCGAUGCAAGUCGAGCAAAGCUCUUUCGAGAGAGGGAGCGCCACACGAGGAGCCUGCGCCCGAUUAGCUAGCUGGUGGAGUAACGGUUCACCAGGGCGACGAUCGGUAGCUGGUCUGAGAGGACGAUCAGCCACACUGGGAUUGAGAACGGCCCAGACUCCUACGGGGGGCAGCAGUGAGGAAUUUUCGUCAAUGGGGGCAACCCUGAACGAGCAACGCCGCGUGCAGGAAGAAGGUUUUCGGAUCGUAAACUGCUUUUUCUCGGGGAAGAGAACGGACGGUACCCGAGGAAUCGAGCCCCGGCUAACUACGUGCCAGCAGCCGCGGU
rnacentral:rRNA from 1 species